rnacentral:rRNA from 1 species
AUUGAACGCUGGCGGCAUGCUUUACACAUGCAAGUCGAACGGUAACAGGUUAAGCUGACGAGUGGCGAACGGGUGAGUAAUGCAUCGGAACGUGCCCGAUCGUGGGGGAUAACGCAGCGAAAGCUGCGCUAAUACCGCAUACGAUCUGAGGAUGAAAGCGGGGGACCGUAAGGCCUCGCGCGAUCGGAGCGGCCGAUGUCAGAUUAGGUAGUUGGUGGGGUAAAGGCUCACCAAGCCGACGAUCUGUAGCCGGUCUGAGAGGACGACCAGCCACACUGGGACUGAGACAGGGCCCAGACUUCUACGGGAGGCAGCAGUGGGGAAUUUUGGACAAUGGGCGAAAGCCGGAUCCAGCAAUGCCGCGUGCAGGAAGAAGGCCUUCGGGUUGUAAACUGCUUUUGUACGGAGCGAAAAGGCUCUCUCUAAUACAGGGGGCUCAUGACGGUACCGUAAGAAUAAGCACCGGCUAACUACGUGCCAGCCGCCGCGGUAA